GGGUGGCACAAACCAGUGAGAAGCGACUGUUUACUAAAAACACAGGUCCGUGCGAAGUCGCAAGACGAUGUAUACGGACUGACGCCUGCCCGGUGCUGGAAGGUUAAGAGGACCCGUUAACUCGUAAGGGUGAAGCGGAGAAUUUAAGCCCCAGUAAACGGCGGUGGUAACUAUAACCAUCCUAAGGUAGCGAAAUUCCUUGUCGGGUAAGUUCCGACCUGCACGAAUGGCGUAACGACUUCUCAACUG
rnacentral:rRNA from 1 species